rnacentral:rRNA from 1 species
AGUCGAACGGAGCACCCUUGAUUGAGGUUUCGGCCAAAUGAUAGGAAUGCUUAGUGGCGGACUGGUGAGUAACGCGUGAGGAACCUGCCUUUCAGAGGGGGACAACAGUUGGAAACGACUGCUAAUACCGCAUGACGCAUUUUGAUCGCAUGGUCGAAAUGCCAAAGAUUUAUCGCUGAAAGAUGGCCUCGCGUCUGAUUAGCUAGUUGGUGAGGUAACGGCCCACCAAGGCGACGAUCAGUAGCCGGACUGAGAGGUUGACCGGCCACAUUGGGACUGAGAUACGGCCCAGACUCCUACGGGAGGCAGCAGUGGGGAAUAUUGGGCAAUGGGCGCAAGCCUGACCCAGCAACGCCGCGUGAAGGAAGAAGGCUUUCGGGUUGUAAGCUUCUUUUAAGUGGGAAGAGCAGAAGACGGUACCACUUGAAUAAGCCACGGCUAACUACGUGCCAGCAGCCGCGGUAAUACGUAGGUGGCAAGCGUUGUCCGGAUUUACUGGGUGUAAAGGGCGUGCAGCCGGGCAUGCAAGUCAGAUGUGAAAUCUCAGGGCUUAACCCUGAAACUGCAUUUGAAACUGUAUGUCUUGAGUGCCGGAGAGGUAAUCGGAAUUCCUUGUGUAGCGGUGAAAUGCGUAGAUAUAAGGAAGAACACCAGUGGCGAAGGCGGAUUACUGGACGGUAACUGACGGUGAGGCGCGAAAGCGUGGGGAGCGAACAGGAUUAGAUACCCUGGUAGUCCACGCUGUAAACGAUGGAUACUAGGUGUGCGGGGACUGACCCC